UCAUCAGGAUGAUGUGCCGGUACAAUUGAAAACAGUUUGAUGUGAUAAGUCAGAUUUCAAGGAUGAAAAUAAGGACACCUUCAGGAUGGAGAACGAUAGCCAAUCAGGAUGAUGGCGAGUAAGGAAGCUAAGGAUCAAUGUCAGGAAGACAUUUGCGCAGGAUAGCGUGUGGAAGAGUUAUCAGGGAUGAGGCAGGGAGCAAAAUCGUAGCAGGAUAGCUGCAAACGAACCGGGAGCACUGUAAUUUACAGUGCUCCUUUUUUUG
rnacentral:other from 1 species